AAAUUAGUGUGGAAGGUUAAUGGAGGUGUGCUACUGGAUUUUACUUCUGGAAAAGAGAGUACCUCAAACAUAAUUAUUUUACUAGUUGCUUUUUGCUUGUGCAUCACCAUAUUAUAUCACUUCUCAACUACCAGUCAAUCAAACAAUCCAAGGGCAAACACUUUUUGUGCUUAAAUCUUAUGUCACAUUCAUCUCACUAUUUGAUGUAUGCUGUUUUUUUCCUUUUCUAACAUGUUUAUGCAAUCUGGAUGUGGUAACAUUGCUUAUAUUCUGCCGUUCAAGUCUUGACAUCAUGCCAUCUAGUAGAGGAUCCAUAGCUGGCCGCUUAUUACUCCAGGAGCCUAAUGUUAACCAAGAGAUAAUUGGCUGCACUACAUGUUGAUCUUCCGGUUAUUUCGUUUCUCUUUUGCCUAUGGAGGGAUAUAAAAUUACGUGCAUGUUUAACAUACAAUAUUAUAUGAUCUAUGGCCUGUUAGUGUAUUAAUUUUGUUAUAUUUCUAGACCCUUUGGUAGUCUGUCUAUGUGUAUUAGUCCUCUUCAGGCCCAUCCUCGUUGUAUGUGUACUUAUACAUUUCUUCACCGCUCUCAAUAUUUGGAAAAGCCUGGAUGUGUUUCACCAAUGGCGGACGCAAACUGUUUUAGUAGGGGUGUCUCUCAUCUUUCAAGCAGGUGCACCUAUUAGAAAAAACCAAAAAAAAAAAAAAAUUACACUGCGUGCCGGAAAUUGAGCAGUGGCCCGGGACCCUAAAUGACCUACUAAGGUCCGCCACUGCGUUUCACGAUCAUAAAGACGCAAAGCUAUUGAGUUAGACAAAGAGCUUCAGACUUGGUGAUCGUACAAUCACCCAAUUUUUUCAAAAGAUCAAGCUUCUCUCGGACCACCUUACCAACAUCUACACAUGUGCCAAAAAAAAAAAAAAAACUCUUCACUUAAUUACUUGAUUAAUGGUGUCUCCGCCAACCAUUAAUUACUUGAUUAAUGGUCUGUCCUUACAAGACUGAUCACCCCUUCUAGAAGAGCAAUAUGUAUAUAUUAUACUAAUACAUAAGAAUUGGAAGGAAAAGAAAGCAAUAUGUAUAGACAAAUGUCGCUCCAGUAAUGGUCAUGAAUACAUGCUCCAUCAUCCAUACAUCACAAACUUGUAUAUCGGUGGUUCUAAAUAUAAUUAAACAUGUCGAGAGACUCCCCUUACCUUAGAUAUUGACAUAGUAAAGGCACUCGGGCUACUCACUUUUGGACGUUCACCUCCUUGUUUUUAGUUGCAACUGUGUAGGUACUAGGUACCAAGCUAUCAAGUAAAGGGCAUUCAAUAAGUAUAUCACAACUCCUACUCCUAUUUAUUCCUAGUUCGAAAGGAUUUAAGUUUGAGGAUUUGGAAAAGGGCUACACAAAAGCUUAGUCAUGGUUUGAUCCCUAGGUUGGGUUGACAAGAACACAUUUGCCCUUUCCUUGAAAAGUGUUUGAAUUGUUGUUGUUAAAAGGUGCUAUCAAGGUCUUCCCAAAUGACAGGCACAUCAAAUUAGUUUCAAUUAAUAUGCAUAAAGUUACAUCUUA